UACGUAGGGGGCAAGCGUUGUCCGGAAUCAUUGGGCGUAAAGAGCUCGUAGGCGGCUCAGUAAGUCGGGUGUGAAACCUCCAGGCUCAACCUGGAGACGCCACCCGAUACUGCUGUGGCUAGAGUCCAGUAGGGGAGUGUGGAAUUCCCGGUGUGAGCGGUGAAAUCGCGCAGAUAUCGGGAGGAACACCAGCGGCGAAGGCGGCACUCCUGGGCUGGUACGUGACGCUGAGGAGCGAAAGCGUGGGAGCAACAGG
rnacentral:rRNA from 1 species